UACGAGGGGUGCAAGCGUUAUCCGGAUUCACUGGGUUUAAAGGGUGCGUAGGUGGGCAGUUAAGUCAGUGGUGAAAUCUCCGGGCUCAACCCGGAAACUGCCAUUGAUACUAUCUGUCUUGAAUAUCGUGGAGGUAAGCGGAAUAUGUCAUGUAGCGGUGAAAUGCUUAGAUAUGACAUAGAACACCAAUUGCGAAGGCAGCUUACUACCCGAAUAUUGACACUGAGGCACGAAAAGCGUGGGGGAGUCAAACAGGA
rnacentral:rRNA from 1 species